rnacentral:rRNA from 1 species
GAUGAACGCUAGCUACAGGCUUAACACAUGCAAGUCGAGGGGCAGCAUGACGAUAGCUUGCUAUUGUUGAUGGCGACCGGCGCACGGGUGAGUAACGCGUAUCCAACCUUCCCGUUGCUAGGGGAUAACCUUGCGAAAGUAAGACUAAUACCCUAUGAAGUUCUUCGCAGGCAUCUAAAGAGAACGAAAGAUUUAUCGGCAACGGAUGGGGAUGCGUCUGAUUAGGUUGUUGGCGGGGUAACGGCCCACCAAGGCGACGAUCAGUAGGGGUUCUGAGAGGAAGGUCCCCCACAUUGGAACUGAGACACGGUCCAAACUCCUACGGGAGGCAGCAGUGAGGAAUAUUGGUCAAUGGGCGCAAGCCUGAACCAGCCAAGUAGCGUGAGGGAAGACUGCCCUACGGGUUGUAAACUGCUUUUAUAAGGGAAUAAAGUGAGUCUCGUGAGGCUUUUUGCAUGUACCUUAUGAAUAAGGACCGGCUAAUUCCGUG